AUGGAGCAAGGUUAACAGAGAGGCAGCAGCAAAUCUUCCUUUCUCUUUUAUAAAGUCCUCAGAUUUCCCAAGACUGAUCGACCCCAUUUUUUUUUUUCCAACACGAAUUCUUUUCGUCUCUGGUGAAGAUAAAUGGGAGGGGAAAAAAACCACAGGAAUUAAGGCUGAGUCCAAGACACCAAGGUCAUGUCUUCCUCCUGGCCCUGCCAUUCACAAGAAAGGCUUCUUGGAGGAAAUAAAAUGGAGUCAAAUGUUGAAAACAGGCAAGACACUUGAAAUGACACAGAAAAGGAAGAGGAGGGAAAGAUGUUCAAAUGCAUGGAGUCAAGAAAAUGAAAAUCUGCAGAAGUCAGCAAGAGGAGGACCCUGCCUACAGUGGAGGGGUCAGAAAGGGAAACAUCAAGAAGUGACUGAGUAGGGUGACAGUUAGAGAGAGGGCUUUGACUCCAAAAAGCAAGAACAAAAAGCUUCUAAUUGAGGGGCAUGGUCCUUGACAAGAUACAAACUGCUUUGGAGAUGAUUGCAUCCUAAAGAAGAACUAUUCUUGUUCCACUUGUUUGAACAGCUCCAGAAAUAUGUGUGGAAUACACGUGGAUGAGAAGCUCUAGUUUCAGCCAGAUGAAGGUCUUGUACAAUGUGUUUCAAAUACUUUCCCAGCUUUCCAUUCCUUUUUUUAUAUGAAUGUCAUUUUAUUGCUGCGGGUCAUUGUGGUACUUUUGACAGCAGAUGGCGCCCUUGGACCAUAAAGUCCUGCUACAUGGUGGAAGUGAAAUCAUGAAGUAGUUCUACUGAGGAUGGCUGCUGCCCUUUCUGUUUCAUCAGACUCCAACAGAGUCAUGAGGUUUUCUGCCUCUCAAAAGGCCUCACUGUUCCAGUCAUCUUCAAGGUCACUAGUAGCUAUUGUUAUCCUAAAGGCAUCUGAUUUUAAAGAAUAUAAUCCCUGUAUGUAAAACAACCACCCAGGUGAAGAACCGUGACCUAGAGAGAUAACCAGGCCUCCAGUCAGAAAUGUAUCAGGUGAUGGAAGCAGGAUUUCAGUUCAGCAGUACACUGACUCCAAGGCCAGCCAGUGUCUGGUCUGCUGCACCUAAUUUACAAGAAGAGGAGUUCUGGACAAUUUUCUUUGAUUAUUUCUUGCAUUAUGGUGUGCCAGCAGCUGACGUGAUGUGCGACAGAGCAGUGAAGAAAAAGGGGAAGGGGAACUGGAGAAAGAAAAGUCGGGCUAG